UCCCUCUCAGGAUCGCACCUGGAGAGUUUCCAGUACUCUAACAGUUUUGGCUACUGGAGGGAAGAGUCAAACAAAGGUAUACCCAUUCCAUUCUCAGCUUGGCCAGUGGCUAGUGAGUGGAAGACAACCUGCUACAAGU
rfam:Ornithorhynchus anatinus chromosome 1, whole genome shotgun sequence.